GAUGAACGCUGGCGGCGUGCUUAACACAUGCAAGUCGAACGAGAAAUGUAGACGGAAACCUUCGGGCGGAAACCUUCAUUUCGAGUGGCGGACGGGUGAGUAACGCGUGGGUAACCUGCCUCAUACAGGGGGAUAACAGUUGGAAACGACUGUUAAUACCGCAUAAGACCACAGCAUCGCAUGAUGCGGGGGUAAAAACUCCGGUGGUAUGAGAUGGACCCGCGUUCGAUUAGCCAGUUGGCGGGGUAACGGCCCACCAAAGCGACGAUCGAUAGCCGAUCUGAGAGGAUGACCGGCCACAUUGGGACUGAGACACGGCCCAAACUCCUACGGGAGGCAGCAGUGGGGAAUAUUGCACAAUGGGGGAAACCCUGAUGCAGCGACGCCGCGUGAGUGAAGAAGUACUUCGGUAUGUAAAGCUCUAUCAGCAGGGAAGAAAAUGACGGUACCUGAGUAAGAAGCCCCGGCUAACUACGUG
rnacentral:rRNA from 1 species